rnacentral:rRNA from 1 species
UCCUACGGGAGGCAGCAGUGGGGAAUAUUGCACAAUGGGGGGAACCCUGAUGCAGCAACGCCGCGUGGAGGAAGGUACAGAGUAUCGUAAACCUCUUUUGUCAGGGGACAAAGACUGGGACGCGUCCCCGGAUGAGUGUACCUGAAGAAAAAGCAUCGGCUAACUCCGUGCCAGCAGCCGCGGUAAUACGGAGGAUGCGAGCGUUAUCCGGAUUUAUUGGGUUUAAAGGGUGCGCAGGCGGUCUGUUAAGUCAGCGGUCAAAGCCCGGGGCUCAACCCCGGCCCGCCGUUGAAACUGGCAGUCUC